AACAUUUCGGAGCUCGCACAUCCUCAUUUGACAAGGCUUUGGUGGAGGUUGUUGUGUUAGUGUUUCCAUGGGUAGUGUUAUUAGCCUAGUAAUAGUUUGACAAGGCUUUGGUAGAGGUUGUUGUGUUUGUGUUUCCAUGGGUAGUGUUGUGAGCCUGGUGAUAGUUUGACAAGGCUUUGGUGGAGGUUGUUGUGUUAGUGUUUCCAUGGGUAGUGUUAUGAGCCUGGUGAUAGUUUGACAAGGCUUUGGUAGAGGUUGUUGUGUUAGUGUUUCCAUGGGUAGUGUUAUGAGCCUGGUGAUAGUUUGACAAGGCUUUGGUAGAGGUUGUUGUGUUAGUGUUUCCAUGGGUAGUGUUAUGAGCCUAGUGAUAGUUUGACAAGGCUUUGGUAGAGGUUGUUGUGUUAGUGUUUCCAUGGGUAGUGUUAUGAGCCUAGUGAUAGUUUGACAAGGCUUUGGUAGAGGUUGUUGUGUUAGUGUUUCCAUGGGUAGUGUUAUGAGCCUGGUGAUAGUUUGACAAGGCUUUGGUGGAGGUUGUUGUGUUAGUGUUUCCAUGGGUAGUGUUAUGAGCCUGGUGAUAGUUUGACAAGGCUUUGGUAGAGGUUGUUGUGUUAGUGUUUCCAUGGGUAGUGUUAUGAGCCUAGUGAUAGUUUGACAAGGCUUUGGUAGAGGUUGUUGUGUUAGUAUUUCCAUGGGUAGUGUUAUGAGCCUAGUGAUAGUUUGACAAGGCUUUGGUAGAGGUUGUUGUGUUAGUAUUUCCAUGGGUAGUGUUAUGAGCCUAGUGAUAGUUUGACAAGGCUUUGGUAGAGGUUGUUGUGUUAGUGUUUCCAUGGGUAGUGUUAUGAGCCUAGUGAUAGUUUGACAAGGCUUUGGUAGAGGUUGUUGUGUUAGUGUUUCCAUGGGUAGUGUUAUGAGCCUGGUGAUAGUUUGACAAGGCUUUGGUAGAGGUUGUUGUGUUAGUGUUUCCAUGGGUAGUGUUAUGAGCCUACUGAUAGUUUGACAAGGCUUUGGUAGAGGUUGUUGUGUUAGUGUUUCCAUGGGUAGUGUUAUGAGCCUAGUGAUAGUUUGACAAGGCUUUGGUAGAGGUUGUUGUGUUAGUGUUUCCAUGGGUAGUGUUAUGAGCCUAGUGAUAGUUUGACAAGGCUUUGGUAGAGGUUGUUGUGUUAGUGUUUCCAUGGGUAGUGUUAUGAGCCUGGUGAUAGUUUGACAAUGCUUUGGUAGAGGUUGUUGUGUUAGUAUUGCCAUGGAUAGUGUUAUGAGCCUGGUGAUAGUUUGACAAGGCUUUGGUAGAGGUUGUUGUGUUAGUAUUCCCAUAGGUAGUGUUAUGAGCCUAUAGUGAUAGUUUGUCAAGGCUUUGGUAGAGGUUGUUGUGUUAGUAUUCCCAUGGGUAGUGUUAUGAGCCUAUAGUGAUAGUUUGUCAAGGCUUUGGUAGAGGUUGUGUUAGUAUUCCCAUAGGUAGUGUUAUGAGCCUAUAGUGAU